rnacentral:rRNA from 1 species
UACGUAGGUGGCAAGCGUUGUCCGGAAUUAUUGGGCGUAAAGCGCGCGCAGGCGGUCCUUUAAGUCUGAUGUGAAAGCCCACGGCUCAACCGUGGAGGGUCAUUGGAAACUGGGGGGACUUAGUACAGAAGAGAAGAGUGGAAUUCCACGUGUAGCGGUGAAAUGCGUAGAGAUGUGGAGGAACACCAGUGGCGAAGGCGACUCUUUGGUCUGUAACUGACGCUGAGGCGCGAAAGCGUGGGGAGCAAACAGG